GAUGAACGCUGGCGGCGUGCUUAAUACAUGCAAGUCGAGCGAACGGACGAGAAGCUUGCUUCUCUGAUGUUAGCGGCGGACGGGUGAGUAACACGUGGAUAACCUACCUAUAAGACUGGGAUAACUUCGGGAAACCGUAGCUAAUACCGGAUAAUAUUUUGAACCGCAUGGUUCAAAAGUGAAAGACGGUCUUGCUGUCACUUAUAGAUGGAUCCGCGCUGCAUUAGCUAGUUGGUAAGGUAACGGCUUACCAAGGCAACGAUGCAUAGCCGACCUGAGAGGGUGAUCGGCCACACUGGAACUGAGACACGGUCCAGACUCCUACGGGAGGCAGCAGUAGGGAAUCUUCCGCAAUGGGCGAAAGCCUGACGGAGCAGCGCCGCGUGAGUGAUGAAGGUCUUCGGAUCGUAAAACUCUGUUAUUAGGGAAGAACAUAUGUGUAAGUAACUGUGCACAUCUUGACGGUACCUAAUCAGAAAGCCACGGCUAACUACGUG
rnacentral:rRNA from 1 species